rnacentral:misc_RNA from 1 species
GAUGAAGAACGUAGCGAAAUGCGACACUUGGUGUGAAUUGCAGAAUCCCGUGAACCAUCGAGUCUUUGAACGCAAGUUGCGCCCGAAGCCAUUAGGCCGAGGGCACGCCUGCCUGGGCGUCACACGUCGUUGCCCCCCCAUCUACUCCUUCGGGAUUGCGGGGGGCGGAUGAUGGCCUCCCGUGCGCCUCGUCGCGCGGUUGGCAUAAAUGCCAAGUCCUCGGCGACGCACGCCACGACAAUCGGUGGUUGCGAAACCUCGGUUGCCCGUCGUGUGCGGUCGUCGCGCAUCGAGGGCUCGAAAAAAUUGCCGGGCUCCGGCUCGGCUUUCAACGCGACCCCAGGUCAGGCGGGGUUACCCGCUGAAUUUAAGCAUAUCAAUAAGCGGAGGA